UACGUAGGCAGCGAGCGUUGUUCGGAGUUACUGGGCGUAAAGGGUGUGUAGGCGGUUUUCUAAGUCUGGUGUGAAAUCUCCCGGCUCAACUGGGAGGGUGCGCCGAAAACUGGAAGGCUAGAGUGCGGGAGAGGAGAGUGGAAUUCCCGGUGUAGCGGUGAAAUGCGCAGAUAUCGGGAAGAACACCCGUGGCGAAGGCGGCUCUCUGGAACGCAACUGACGCUGAGACGCGAAAGCGUGGGGAGCAAACAGG
rnacentral:rRNA from 1 species